AUGUUCGCUCUAUGUGCCACGACUCUCCUGUACUUCCUGUCUUUUAGCCAAUCAGCUCCUGCUGCAGCUCUAGCCUGUGAGGACCUCCUUAAGCCUAUGGAUCCACCACGACUAGACCAGCAGCUCUUGAGGAAAUGGGCCCUCGUCGCAGGCAGCCUGAGCCACCCUGCAUCCCUGGAGGCUCUCAAGACCAGAGACGGCAUCACCAUGGAGUUUUCACCCUCUACCCCCAACACCACCCAGAACUCCAACACCACCACAACCGUCCACUACACCCAGACUAACCGUUUCGGCAUCCGAUGCGAGUAUCUAACCUACAAUAUCUCACUCCUCAACGACAACAGCACCUUCCGGUUCGACGUGGGGGGCCGAUUCAACCUCACUGGGGUCUUCCUGGAGACCUCCUGCCCAGACUGUCUGGUGAUGAAGUGGGUCAUUUAUAGAAUUGUACAUUCGAGCCAUUUAGCAGACACUCUUAUCCAGAACAACUUACUGUUAGGGGUAUUCCAGUGUUUUUCAACUCUGGUCCAGGUGUGCCCCCAUUUCUGUUGUAGGUCCACACAAACGCACCUGAUUCUACUAGUCAACUAAUCAUCAAGGCCUUGACAAGUUGAAUCAGGUGUGGUUGCCCAGGGUUACAACAAGAAUGUGUACGUUUGGGGGUAGAUUAGGACCGGAGUUGAGAAACACCGGUGUAGGCUAUUCAACUAAGGUCAGGUAGUUAAAAACAACCACAUACUGCAUUACAAUCAUUACAAGUGAACCGUUCUUCAAAACACCCACUGGCCACAGAAGUCAUUUCAUUGAAAUGACAUGGAAACAACAUUGAUUCAACCAGUGUGUGUCCACUCUAUCACCCUCAAACUCAACUCUGGACCUCUAAUCAGGGACUGAUUUAGACUUGGGGCACCAGGUGGGUGCAAUUAAUGAUCAAGUAGAACAGAAGAACCAGCAGGCUCUGGAUGUCGUUGGGUAAGAGUUGAAUACGCCUGCUCUAUCAGCUAAACCAGUGACAGGAAGAAAAACAAGUGCUGGUGUGAGUACAAGAAAGAAAAGUACAACAGUAAAGUCUAAUUCAUUUUUAGGUGGGAGGUGAUGUCCAGGAGGAGGGAGUCCACGGACCUGUACCUGCUGAGGAAGGUGGAGGGCGGGAGAGAGGUGGAGGAAGAGGAGAUGGAGGAGUUCAGGAAACAGGUGGAGUGUUUGGGGCUGCCUCCGCCAGUGGUGAUGGAGCCGGGGAAUGUCCUCUGUGGUUUCUAUCAGCUCCUCUGGAAAGACUGAGGAGAAGGAGAAGAAGAAGCUCGAUCAGUGUGAUCAGAGAGUGGGGGCCGUGAGACAGAUGUAGAGACCCGUUUUCUGUCAUCUGUUUUGGAAUCCAACAAUUCUGUGUUUUACCGUUUGUCGAAGACCUGUAGAAUUUUGAAUAAAAGAUGCACGGUUUGUCAUGUUAUUCUGUCUUCUUGGCUUCUUUAACAGAUUUAAUUACGUUCACAGAGAGAUUUAAUGUCCAAGAGCUUAAGCUAAUUCACAGAGACGGUGGGAUCCAGCAGGAAUGUCGGGACGUCAUUAGGACCGCUCCAAACUCUGCACAAUGGGAAGGAAAAGUCUUUUAUAAUUGGAUUACUUUUGUAUAAUUUGGCAUAACCUCAUUUGUCCAUGCAUUAAAGUGCUCAUACUGUUAAUUCUCAGAUUAAACUGGAUGGAACAGUGAACAAUUUGUCAUUUGUGAGUGAGAGAGAGUGUUUCUGCAGAUGUGGGCGUGCACAAGCAAGGGGGGGGGGGGGGGGGGGGGGGGGGGGGUGUUUUAGUGAAUUAUUUUCCAAGGGAAAUGCUUAUCGAAGGUCCUUAUCUUAUUUUGUCCAAAGCAAGGCCUGAUGAUUGAAUCAUGACCAGUACAGUAGGGAUGUAUUAGAAAGGCCUGAUGAGUGAAUCAUGACCAGUACAGUAGGGAUGUAUUAGAAAGGCCUGAUGAGUGAAUCAUGACCAGUACAGUAGGGAUGUAUUAGAAAGGCCUGAUGAGUGAAUCAUGACCAGUACAGUAGGGAUGNNNNNNNNNNNNNNNNNNNNAGAAAAAGAAGGUCCCCUGUAGAUCAGAAACGUUCCAGUCCGGUGGCGUCGUCACCGCCACAGACGAUACCAUACCAACAGGUAGGUGCCAUAAACUUACUAGGUAUUGAGGGGCUCCUUUAAAGUGAUGUCACAGUGUGUUCCACUGUAUGUAACCAUUGUACUGGUACAGUGUAGUCCUCCUUGUUGUGGAGAAGGUUAGCUUUAUCAGAUUAUAAAUUCCUGUUACAAAUCUCAUUUGUACUAUGCUGUUGGUUUAAUGUCUUUAUUCAAUGUUUAUUACAUGGAAAACAUAUUUUACAUACCACUAGUUGUCCAUAUAAAAUAAUUGCCACCCAUAAAAUAAAAUAUUAAGUUUAUAUGCAAUACCCCCUGUGGGCAAUGUAUAUUUAAUGAUGAUCACAUUUCCUGAAGCUCCUUUGAUAAAGUUUAGCCUCGUUGCUAAUGAGGAGAAAUAUUAGCCUAUUAUAUGAUAUCCCACUAAUCUGCAUCUUUCCCAACUCCCUGUUACCCCACGGCACAUGGGAACAUCCUGGGACAGUCCCAUUGGAGGUUAGCUUUGUGCUCCCUGUAAAAUACACUAUAUAUACACAAAAGUAUGUGGACACCCCUUUGAAUUAGUGAAUUCGGCUAUUUCAGUCACACCCGUUGCUGAUAGUUGUGUAAAAUUGAGCACAUAGCCAUGCAAUCUCCAUAGACAAACAAUGACAGUAGAAUGGCCUUACUGAAGAGCUCAGUGACAUUAAAGAUGGCACCGUCAUAGGAUUCCACCUUUCCAACAAGUCAGUUUGUCAUAUUUCUGCCCUGCUAGAGCUGCCCCACACGAAGAGUAAACAACUGGGAACAACCAACUGGGAACAUUUUGUCAGUCCACAAGGAAAAAGGCUAUUUCGAGCCUUUUAGGGUUAAGGUAAGAAUUAGUGUUAGGGUUAAGGUUAGGUUUUGGGGUUAAAGUUAGGGUUAACAUUUGAGUCAGGGUUUAGGGAAAAUAGGAUUUUGAAUGGGAAUGAAUUGUGUGUCCCCACAAGGUUAGUUUAAACAAGACUGUCUGUCUGUGUGUGUGUUCCUAAAUAGGGAUUUAAAGAGCUUUCUUUCUCACAAUAGUUAAAUGUUUACUCCUCCCUACUGUGGCGAAACAUCAUUUUCAUGUGUGUGUGUGUCCCUCCUCUUUCAUAGCCCAAGGACCUGUUCUUUUCUCAAGUGGAGGAAAACCCAGUUACAUAUCCAUUUGAAAUGUAUUCACUGUUGGAAUCGAAGUCAGGCUGCGUCCCAAUGUACACUACCUUUGUGGUUGACUUGCACAUUUCCAAUAUUCAUGUAUGUUGUAGCAAGUAUGAUCUACUUUGAAAAUAGAAAUGUAAUGGUUAGAGGGGACAGUCUUGUCUGUCACAAUAUCAUUUAUCUGUAAAAAGGUGCAUGUCCAAUCUUGAUAUUCUAGCUCUAUCCACAACAUUUUCCCACCAAUGAAUAGCCUGCAGGGCAGGCCCCUAUGGCCAGUUAUAAACCAAUCACCCCAUGUCCUAUCCCAUGUUCCUCCAUUCAUAGUGAAGGUGUCCAGGCUUGUCCGCUCUAACAGGGCAUUGUUAUGUGAAUGUAAUCAUGUCCAGGUCAGGACAUGGCAUUGUUUUCUGAAUGCAAUGUGCAGUAUGCCAGGCCAGGACCACUGCACACUGUCGUACUGUCCCAGAUCUACUGUUCAUCCCAUCCGUUUAUCCCCAGUCCUCUCUGUUCU
rnacentral:lncRNA from 8 species